GCGUGCCCCCCCACAGCAGGCAGCAUCCUCCGGACUCCGGACGGGUGUUAUUGUGUUUGCAGGGUCAUGUGAACCAUUUAGAUUACAAGAGUUAACGGGAUGCUGGACAGUUACUGUGGAAGCUUUGCUAAAUGAUGCCCCAAAAUUAGUCUGUUGUUGAAAAUGAUGUUGUUUAUUGUAUAGUAUUUAAGAAUGUAAUUUUCUUUUCUAUCUUCUGGCAUGCUGACUGGUUACUUUGAGCCUCAAACCCUUAUUAGAUCAUCCUCUAAUACAAAGCUUUAUUUUUUGCACAGCCUUUCAGAACAUGAACUCUAAGAGGAAAGCAGAGACCUGGAAGAGGAACCGGAGGCAGCUGUGGUGAUGGUGAGCCUGUACCCUGAGUUCCCCCAGUCUGUGAUGUCCUCACUCGCCUCAUGUGGGGAGUUUGUGUUCUCAUUGGAUGGAUGGGGAAGUAUGGACGAUCCCAUGAAUAACAGCAAGCAGGAAGAAACUUGCAUCAGCAGUGCAAGGGACACUCUGCUGCUCCUGUUGAAGAGUUUAGCAAUGGGCUGCUACUUCAAUAUCUACAGUUUUGGGUCCAGAUUUGAACACAUCUUCCUGUAAGUGACUCGGUCCACAAAAAUGUGUUUCACUCAUUAAUGUCACAUGAUGAUCAUUAGAUCAGA